rnacentral:rRNA from 1 species
UACGGAGGGAGCUAGCGUUGUUCGGAAUUACUGGGCGUAAAGCGCACGUAGGCGGCGAUUCAAGUCAGAGGUGAAAGCCCGGGGCUCAACCCCGGAACUGCCUUUGAAACUAGAUUGCUAGAAUCCUGGAGAGGUUAGUGGAAUUCCGAGUGUAGAGGUGAAAUUCGUAGAUAUUCGGAAGAACACCAGUGGCGAAGGCGACUAACUGGACAGGUAUUGACGCGGAGGUGCGAAAGCGUGGGGAGCAAACAGG